rnacentral:rRNA from 1 species
AGAUUGAACGCUGGCGGCAGGCCUAACACAUGCAAGUCGAGCGGCAGCACGGGUACUUGUACCUGGUGGCGAGCGGCGGACGGGUGAGUAAUGCCUAGGAAUCUGCCUGAUAGUGGGGGAUAACGUUCGGAAACGGACGCUAAUACCGCAUACGUCCUACGGGAGAAAGUGGGGGAUCUUCGGACCUCACGCUAUCAGAUGAGCCUAGGUCGGAUUAGCUAGUUGGUAGGGUAAGGCCUACCAAGGCUACGAUCCGUAACUGGUCUGAGAGGAUGAUCAGUCACACUGGAACUGAGACACGGUCCAGACUCCUACGGGAGCAGCAGUGGGGAAUAUUGGACAA